UUAGUACAGACAUAAUAAUAUCAUACGGCUGAGAUUCUUGCACUGUUAUGUUUGGACAAUGGACAUGACAUUUCGGAGGACUUGCGCACUUUACCUUUUGUAUGAAAAUACAAGAAAACAAAUAAGGUCUACAGAAAUUUCUCAGCCUCACCAUAGAGCCUAGAAGAGCACAGACGAUGACUCAAGUGGAUGAUUGCAGGAUAUUUUUCAUAACAUCUAGCCAAGAAGUCAAGAACACUCUAAAGGAGGAACAGAAAGACUAGAGCAAAUCUUGGAGAAAACGUAAAAAAAAGGCCAGUUCUGGAAAGAAAUUCUUAAAACAGAUUGACCCAAGAUUAACUUGUAUCAGAAUGAUGGGAUGAGAAUAGUGCAAAGAAGGAAAGAAGACUCUUG